rnacentral:tRNA from 1 species
GGGACUCGAACCCGCGACCCCCGGCGUGACAGGCCGGUAUUCUAACCGACUGAACUACCGCUGCGCGUAACUUGCGA